ensembl:snRNA U2 U2 spliceosomal RNA
AUCACUUCUCGGCCUUUUGGCUAAGAUCAAGUGUACUAUCUGUUCUCAUCAGUUUCAAGAUUCUUUACCAUGACCUACA